GUUAUAUAGUUAAGUGACUAAGCGCAUACGGUGGAUGCCUUGGCAGUCAGAGGCGAUGAAGGACGUAGUAACCUGCGAUAAGCGUUGGUAAGCUGGUAAACAAGCUUUGACCCAACGAUUUCCGAAUGGGGAAACCCAUCUAACAUAAGUUAGAUAUCUUGCACUGAAUACAUAGGUGUAAGAAGCAAACCCGGAGAACUGAAACAUCUAAGUACCCGGAGGAAAAGAAAUCAACCGAGAUUCCCUUAGUAGCGGCGAGCGAACGGGGAUUAGCCGAUGAUUAUUGAAUUAGUGGAACGCUCUGGGAAGUGCGGCCAUAGUGGGUGAUAGCCCCGUACACGAAGAUUCAAUAGUCACAUAUUAAGUAGGACGGGACACGUGUUAUCUUGUCUGAAGAUGGGGGGACCAUCCUCCAAGGCUAAAUACUCCUGACUGACCGAUAGUGAACCAGUACCGUGAGGGAAAGGCGAAA
rnacentral:rRNA from 1 species